rnacentral:tRNA from 1 species
AGUUUUAUAUUCAAUUAAUGAUUUUAAAUUGCAAAUUUAAAGUAGUAAAUUCAUUUACUAAAGCUU